UGGACAGAUUAUUGUAUUCGACUGUAUUCACGGCGUGAAACAGGGGAUUAUACUGUUUUUAUAUGGAAAGUGAAUCAAUUAACAUAAUAGACUCCU
rnacentral:pre_miRNA from 1 species